rnacentral:tRNA from 1 species
GGGGCUGUAGCUCGGGCAGGUAGAGCAUCCUGAAUCCUAUAUAAACUCAGGAAGGUCAGCGGUUCAAAUCCGUUCAGCUCCA